GAUGAACGCUGGCGGCGUGCUUAACACAUGCAAGUCGAACGGAAAAGCCCAAGCUUGCUUGGGUACUCGAGUGGCGAACGGGUGAGUAACACGUGGGUGAUCUGCCCUGCACUUCGGGAUAAGCCUGGGAAACUGGGUCUAAUACCGGAUAGGACCACUUCUUGGAUGUUGUGGUGGAAAGUUUUUUCGGUGUGGGAUGAGCUCGCGGCCUAUCAGCUUGUUGGUGGGGUAAUGGCCUACCAAGGCGUCGACGGGUAGCCGGCCUGAGAGGGUGUACGGCCACAUUGGGACUGAGAUACGGCCCAGACUCCUACGGGAGGCAGCAGUGGGGAAUAUUGCACAAUGGGCGCAAGCCUGAUGCAGCGACGCCGCGUGGGGGAUGACGGCCUUCGGGUUGUAAACUCCUUUCGCUAGGGACGAAGCGUUUUUGUGACGGUACCUGGAGAAGAAGCACCGGCUAACUACGUGCCAGCAGCCGCGGUAAUACGUAGGGUGCGAGCGUUGUCCGGAAUUACUGGGCGUAAAGAGCUCGUAGGUGGUUUGUCGCGUCGUUUGUGUAAGCCCGCAGCUUAACUGCGGGACUGCAGGCGAUACGGGCAUAACUUGAGUGCUGUAGGGGAGACUGGAAUUCCUGGUGUAGCGGUGGAAUGCGCAGAUAUCAGGAGGAACACCGAUGGCGAAGGCAGGUCUCUGUGCAGUAACUGACGCUGAGGAGCGAAAGCAUGGGUAGCGAACAGG
rnacentral:rRNA from 1 species